GAUGAACGCUGGCGGCGUGCCUAAUACAUGCAAGUCGAGCGAAUGGACGAGAAGCUUGCUUCUCUGAUGUUAGCGGCGGACGGGUGAGUAACACGUGGAUAACCUACCUAUAAGACUGGGAUAACUUCGGGAAACCGUAGCUAAUACCGGAUAAUAUUUUGAACCGCAUGGUUCAAAAGUGAAAGACGGUCUUGCUGUCACUUAUAGAUGGAUCCGCGCUGCAUUAGCUAGUUGGUAAGGUAACGGCUUACCAAGGCAACGAUGCAUAGCCGACCUGAGAGGGUGAUCGGCCACACUGGAACUGAGACACGGUCCAGACUCCUACGGGAGGCAGCAGUAGGGAAUCUUCCGCAAUGGGCGAAAGCCUGACGGAGCAACGCCGCGUGAGUGAUGAAGGUCUUCGGAUCGUAAAACUCUGUUAUUAGGGAAGAACAUAUGUGUAAGUAACUGUGCACAUCUUGACGGUACCUAAUCAGAAAGCCACGGCUAGCUACGUG
rnacentral:rRNA from 1 species